AAGCCGUGAUUGGGACAUCGCUUCAAACACACUUUGAACCUCUCCCAAGCAUCAUAAAGAGUUUCAUUGUCGCUUUGUUCGAAGUUGUUGAUUUCUGCUCUU
rnacentral:snoRNA from 1 species